rnacentral:rRNA from 1 species
UACGUAGGGGGCAAGCGUUGUCCGGAAUCAUUGGGCGUAAAGAGCGUGUAGGCGGCUCGGUAAGUCCGCUCUGAAAGCCCGGGGCUCAACCCCGGGAGGCGGGCGGAUACUGUCGGGCUAGAGUCCGGAAGAGGCGAGUGGAUUCCUGGUGUAGCGGUGAAAUGCGCAGAUAUCAGGAGGAACACCAAUAGCGAAGGCAGCUCGCU